rnacentral:rRNA from 1 species
GAUGAACGCUGGCGGCGUGCCUAAUACAUGCAAGUCGAGCGAACAGACGAGGAGCUUGCUCCUCUGACGUUAGCGGCGGACGGGUGAGUAACACGUGGAUAACCUACCUAUAAGACUGGGAUAACUUCGGGAAACCGGAGCUAAUACCGGAUAACAUGUUGGACCGCAUGGUUCAACAGUGAAAGACGGUCUUGCUGUCACUUAUAGAUGGAUCCGCGCCGCAUUAGCUAGUUGGUAAGGUAACGGCUUACCAAGGCAACGAUGCGUAGCCGACCUGAGAGGGUGAUCGGCCACACUGGAACUGAGACACGAUCCAGACUCCUACGGGAGGCAGCAGUAGGGAAUCUUCCGCAAUGGGCGAAAGCCUGACGGAGCAACGCCGCGUGAGUGAAGAAGGUCUUCGGAUCGUAAAACUCUGUUAUUAGGGAAGAACAAAUGUGUAAGUAACUAUGCACGUCUUGACGGUACCUAAUCAGAAAGCCACGGCUAACUACGUG